rnacentral:tRNA from 1 species
GCUCCCAUAGUUUAAUGGAUAGAAUGCGAGCCUCCGAAGUUCGCGGUCCAGGUUCGAUUCCUGGUGGGAGUA